rnacentral:rRNA from 1 species
UACGGGGGGGGCAAGCGUUGUUCGGAUUUACUGGGCGUAAAGGGCGCGUAGGCGGCGUGACAAGUCACUUGUGAAAUCUCCGGGCUUAACUCGGAACGGUCAAGUGAUACUGUCGGACUAGAGUACAGAAGGGGCAACUGGAAUUCUCGGUGUAGCGGUGAAAUGCGUAGAUAUCGAGAGGAACACCUGCGGCGAAGGCGGGUUGCUGGGCUGAUACUGACGCUGAGGCGCGAAAGCCAGGGGAGCAAACGGG